AUUGAACGCUGGCGGCAUGCCUUACACAUGCAAGUCGGACGGCAGCGCGGGCUUCGGCCUGGCGGCGAGUGGCGAACGGGUGAGUAAUACAUCGGAACGUGUCCCGUAGUGGGGGAUAGCCCGGCGAAAGCCGGAUUAAUACCGCAUACGAUCUGCGGAUGAAAGCGGGGGAUCUUCGGACCUCGCGCUAUGGGGGCGGCCGAUGGCGGAUUAGGUAGUUGGUGGGGUAAAGGCCCACCAAGCCGACGAUCCGUAGCUGGUCUGAGAGGACGACAAGCCACACUGGGACUGAGACACGGCCCAGACUCCUACGGGAGGCAGCAGUGGGGAAUUUUGGACAAUGGGCGCAAGCCUGAUCCAGCAAUGCCGCGUGUGUGAAGAAGGCCUUCGGGUUGUAAAGCACUUUUGUCCGGAAAGAAAACCUCCGCGUGAACAACGGGGAGGGCUGACGGUACCGGAAGAAUAAGCACCGGCUAACUACGUGCCAGCCGCCGCGGUAACAC
rnacentral:rRNA from 1 species